rnacentral:tRNA from 1 species
ACAUAUCUAGUAUAAUUAAUUACAAAAUUUUUUCGUAAUUUAAAUCCUAAUCUAGGGAAAUGUU